UCUGUAUUCUGUGCAGUGGUACGUAUAUUCAGUAGGGUCUCACCCUACACGUACAGUUUUGCAGCCUAUCCAAAAGGAGAUUAAGGCAUUUGUCAGAGCAACAGUUUAUUCUCCAUCUGCUGGUGGACCUGGAAGAGGCUGAGCCAAAGAGAGGAGGAGGAGGGAGAAGGGAAGCAGGAAGCGGAUACCAGGACUGCAGAUCUAUCCUGGGGGAAGGAACAGAUCCUUUAUUGGUGCAGCAGUGUCUGGGACUAGGAAAUAGGCCCAAAAGGUCAGACAAGUUUUGAGUGUCCAGAGUAACUGCAGUAGCCCUGGGUGCUGGAGAAUUGGCCUUGGAGCACGUGCAGAGAAGGACAAUGAAUCUGGUGAAUGGCUUGGAGCACAAGUCUGAUUAGGAGCAGCUGAGGGAACUGAGAUUGUUCAAUCUGAAGAAGAGGAGACUCAGGGGAGACCUCAUUGCACUCCUCAGACACCUGAAAGGAGGUUACAGCAAGCUCAGCACAAACAUCUCUCUCAUUUUCUACAAUCUGUGGGAUGACGUGUUCCACCCGCCAGGUGCAACAUGGUUGACCAGAAAAAAUGCAGUGAAUUACUGAAAAGAAAAGACCAUGAACAGGCCUAGGAGAAAAGAGUAACACCUGCUAAGUUACUCAAUUAGUAAAAAGUUGACGUUAGACUCUCCAAAAGCUUCCUACUUCUUUUGGUGGCUUCCCACCAGGACUGUUUUAUAUCAGUCCUUGUGGUAAGCAUGGAGCAGCUGGAGGGCAGUGAGCCUCUGUUGGAGUCAGCAGGAGAUCUCCUCCAGCCCUCGGUAGAGCAAGUGUUUGUCAGAGAACUGGGAUCCUGGUCAAGGAAGGCUGUUGUCAGACAGCUGUUUGAUGCAAAGCAGACUGAUAUAUGACGUGGUCCCUGUGGGGAGCUGAGGGAGAUGCACACAGGAGCCAGCCCACCCUCACCUGCCUCCCUUCCCUGUGUCACACUGUGACAUAUUCGCCAUCCUCACGGAGCCUUCUGCCUUCCUUCGGUGCUGAUGGGCCAUCUCUCACCUCUGAGGAGUCUUUGAGGAAGGCGGCUUACGUUGCAUCAGCAAACAGGCCCUGCCUAAUUUCCCCAUGGUACUUGAGGGGAAAUUCUCUAUAAGCAUCUGUAAAGCUAAUUUAGUCAUUUCCUUCUAACCCCACUGUAAAUGUUCCCUUUUGCAGGGUGUGUAGAAACUAGACGCAACUUCUGGCCACUGGAUGCUGAGAUGAGAAUUUGUCGUGCUAACCAAAUUAACUCCUUGCUGCCUUGUCCCUCUCCAUUUGUUUGCUGUAGACUGCAGUAUCCUUUGAAGAAGAGACAUCUUUACAACAUUUAUUUGCACAGCACUUAGUCUAAAUUCCUCACUGGUCUUUGACUAAAUCUUCCAGGCAUUCCAGCUACCCACAUAAUAUAUUAAAGCAACAAGUAGCUCUCUUACAGGGCCCCAGUUGGGACAGGCAUGCAUUGUUGGUUCCUUUAAAAACCUAUUCUCUUUGUUUCCUUCCAAAUAUUUAAACAAACAGUAUUUUCAUUUCAGGCUCUUUAACUCUUUCCCACAUCUUGUGGUAUCUUCCUGAAGUAAAGUGUCAGGGGUCCCAAAUCCUCAGUAGAUCAUAGAACAGAAUCACAGAAUCACAAUCAUUAAGGUUGGAAAAGACCUCUAAGAUCAGCCAGUCCAACCGUCAGCCCACCCCCACCACGCCCACUGCCCACAUUCCUGAGUGCCACAUCCACACGGCUCUUCAACACCUCCAGGGAUGGUGACUACACCACCUCCAUGGGCAGUCUGUGCCACUGCCUCACUGCUCUUGCUAAGAAAUUGUUUCUAAUAUCCAACCUGAUAUGUGCAUAUGGAGAGUGUACACUCAGAGCUUCACCAGUGCCUUUAGAGUUCCAUAAAGUCCUCCUCAAUGGAAGAACAGGCUGCCAAAACAGCUUGCCAUGUAAUAUAUAUUGUCUGGUUAAUGUGUGCCUAGUGUGAAGCUCAGUCCUUGGUUAUCUUUAUGGUUAGGGCUGGGGUUCACUUUGAAAGAAUGAGAAACCACGGAGUUGCAGUUCACUGCAAUGGUGAGGGGCUGCCCAGAGAAAGUGCAAGCUGCUGAGAGAUCAUCUCUGAGUUAUCUUCUGCAGGGGCUAUGUGUGGAUGACCCACCCGAAGGUCACACCUCAUGUGGGUUUACAUGAGUCACACCUCAUGUAGGUGUACAGUUAGGUUUAGCCCUCAAGUUGCACCAGGGUAAGUUUAGGAUGGAUAUCAAGAAAAUCUUCUUUACAGAAAGGGUUGUUAAGCACUGGAAUGGGCUCCCCAGGGAGGUGGUUGAGUCACCACCCCUGGAUGUGCUUAAAAACCGUUUGGAUGUGGUGCUCAGGGACAUGGUUUAGCAGAGGAUUGUUAGAGUUAGGGUAGUAUGGUUAGGUUGUGGUUGGACUUGGUGAUCCUUAAGGUCUUUUCCAACCUCAGCUAUUCUAUGGUUCUAUGAUUAAGGUUGAGGGACGGAGAUAGUGUGGGGGUACAAUUGUUGUGGAGUGGAGAAGGUGUCUGCAAAAGGAAAAAGUAGUCUGCCGGGAGGUCUUCGCUAUGAGAUGCUAUUUGCAUGGGAUGUAUGUGGAAGGCCAUGUCCAAAGGUCAAAUAAGGGUAAGGUUACCUCUAGGGUUGAGGAAGGAAGGCUGCCUGGAUUUCCAGUUGGCUUUUGGGUGGAAAGAGACUUCCCAAAGCAAGUGCAGUUCCAAGAGAACUUGUCUGUGAAUCAGUUUUCAGUUUGGACAAUGUCUGAGGCACCUUAUCCAAAGACUGUUCAUCAGUUGCUUUUAGGUUUGUGGUUCACAAUGAGGUUAAGAAGAGGAAAUGGCUGGAGGCGCUGUUGUGUUGGGGUGGAGAUAGUACCUGUGAAAAGGAAGCAAGGAGACAAGAUUAUUUUUAUUUGAGCAAUUCCUGAGGCUCAUUGCCCAUAAGCCAAUUGUUAUUUUGCAUUAUGGUUAGGACUGAGUGAGGGAGAAGUCGUGGAGCUAAGAGAUCUUGGCAGCAAGGUACCUGUAGACUGGUUGCCUCUCCAAAGACUGGCCAUCACUGCUUAAGUGAGAUUUGUGCCUAGGGUUCAGAGUAAGUCUGGAACAGUGAGAAGCUUUAAAGGAGCUGCCAAAGGGAAAGGUAAGCUGUGGGGAGAACUUGGCUGUGAGGCAGUUUUGUCUGGCAUAUAUCUGUGAAGCCUUGACUAGCGCUUAGGCUUCCACAGGGUUGUAGCUGAGAGGGAAAGCCAAGGGCUGCUUCUGGAAAGAGAUCACCUGAGGAAACUCUUGGCUGCAAACUGAAAGCAACUCAUUCAGGUCCUCCCGUUUGGGUCCAUCUUACUUGUCUGGGGCAUAGUCCAGACCCCACACUGAGUAACUGUUGUAAAUCUGAAGCAGUUCUGAAUUGGUUUGGUUCUGUCACUUUUAGUCAGAACGUGGAGAAUAACAGAAAACUGUAAUGUAAGCUUAAGUCUAUUAUUCCUGUUUAACUUUCUUCUAGUGUCCCAGACGUAAACUUUCUCCAUUUGUUGCACACAGCCCUUAUCUGCACUGCAGGGAUGGUUUGAAAAGAAGCAUUAUUUCUCCUGGUCAUGAUUUGGGAGUGAAGGGGUGGCAGUUUUAUUACCACAGAUGAGCCCAACUGCCAAGUUUUAAACAGUUCUGUGAUCAGCCCAUUCUGCCUCCCUCUUCCUACACCCAUCCCUGCAUCUUGCUCUGUAGCAGUGUUGUUUGGCUGCAUCCGUCCCCUCUGAUGGCUCAGGUUCUUGUCCUUGGAACACAGUUAUGGGGUCCCGGUGCAACACUGCAGCUGGGAACAAGCCUUUCUGGAGAAAGCGUUUGGCGAACUUCACACAAAUAAAUUUUCCCCAGCAGAAGCUUGAGAGACAGCCUCUUCUCCAUUAUACACCCUGGGCCAUGGGGUGGUGUACUCUGGCAAUCAAUUAAACUGGAAGUUCAAGCGUCAGGAGAGCUGCUGGAAGAAGUGAUUGUUGCACCUUCACUAGAUUCGCUGAUUAUAAUGCUACAUAUUCACUCCUUGCUGCAAGCAGUUUCUCCAUGGGGACAAAUCACUGAAGCACUGGAGAGAUGGAGAGGGUGCAACUCAUCAAAGAAAUCACAUCUGUUUGCAGAUUUUCUCUGCAGAACUUAGUUAUCACCUGGAGAGAAGCAGUACAAGUAACGUUUCAGAGUGCCCUGAGCAGAACUACCUUUACUCAUCCAUCUGGCAUCUCCAUCUUUUAGAAGGAGUCAAUCAUGUGCAGGGCUUUCAGGCUCUACGGCAAGCCAGGCUCAAGCAUAACAUGAAGUCUGUGAGCAACACCUACACUGCAAAAGAGCCGUGACUCUGUUAACAGGGUUUUCCUUAGCUGGUCUUACCCCGCACUGCUGCUGCUAAUAUCUCUGCUUGGCCAGAGUGUACAUUCACCUAAAAGAUUGCCAAUUCACAUUCUGGUGUUUUUUUUUUCCUCAGGAAGGGAAAAAAUUCCCACUUCAGUAAAGCACAUAAAUGUUGUGCUGGACUAGAUCUUCUUCUAAGCCAGUCAGUGGCAGCCUUACAACAAUUAGGAGGAUUUAGCACUCCAGUAGGAUCUAUUUUACAGACGUGCCCUGAGGUACUAAAUUGUCUUAGUCUUUACAUAAUUUGAACAAAAACCACAAAGCUGUUGAGCGGCUCCUGCACUUCAGUUGCUUUGGGGCUGUAUCCUCCUGUGCUGAAAUACUUGAGAAUGAGGAAAUUUGCCAAGGCUCUGAGAGGUAGGAAAAACAGGAGAGAAGAGUCAUUAAAAUGCUUAGCACCUACUGUGCAUGCAAUUUGCAUCUCUGUUGUAUUGUAGAAAGAUUAGCUGAAUUUUCACAGUGAUAUUCAGAGAUAAAUGAAAUGUGUCCCCAGUUUGCACAUAAAGAAAGGGAAAUACGAAUUGUAAAAACCUUUUUUUUUUUUUUUUUUUUUUUUUUAAAUGCCUAUGAGCAGCUCCAUAUUCUUCUUAGAUACAGUGGGAACUACCGGGGGUGUUUUGGAAGCACCAUAGGAAGCACCUCCUGGAAUACACGUACAGCCCGGCCCCCUAAGGGAACAGUGACUCAGUAAAAUCACUCAUGUAGGCAUCCCCUCUGUGUUCUCAACCCUGCUAUCCUUACUAGACUACAUCAGCUCAUCAACAAACUGACAACUCCUAGUCAUCAUGAAAAUACUCUUCUUCAAAUGGAAAUCAGAAGCGCUAUUUUCCUACAAGCACUAGAAUUUAGGUUUGCUUAUAUGCCCCUCGUGAUCUCUAACAGGAAAGAAAAGAAAGGGACAGACAAAAUUAUGCCUGACUCAUGUUUUUACUGAUUCAUGCCUAAGGAGCUUCAGUAUUGGAAGAGAUGUGCAGACAGUCAAGAGAGAUCUGCUAUUUGAUGGGUUCAGGAACAUUUGCAUUUGUCUUCAUACAGACCCUUGGCAUUUGUCUAAUGCAAAGUCAUGGGGGGCAACCUAGAAGCCUUCCCGCCUGAAGUCACGCAGCUGUUGCCAGUGAGGACCCCUUUAGGCUUUCCUGCUAAAAAUGUCAUAGAAUCAUAAAGUCACAGAACAGCUUGGGUUGGAAGAGACCUCAAAACCCAACCCCUGCCAUGGGCAGGGCUGCCCCCCACCAGCUCAGGCUGCCCAGGGCCCCAUCCAACCUGGCCUUGAGCGCCUCCAGGGAUGGGGCACCACAGCUUCUCUGGGCAGCUGUGCCAGAACCUCAUCACCCUCUGAGGAAAAAAUUUCUUCCUAACAUCUCACCUAUAUAUCACAUCUUUUAGUUCAAAGCUUUUCCCCCUUGUUCUAUCACUAUUAGACCAGAUAAAAAAUCAGCCUCCCUCCUGUUUAUAAGCUGCUGACCGCCCCUCUUUUGUUGUAGCCCAGGAUACUGUUGGCCUUCUGGACUGCAGGCACACACUGAUGGCAGGUGUCAAGCUUUCUGUCCAUCAGAACCCCCAAGUCCUUUUUCUGCAGGGCUACUCUCAGUGAGUUCUUCUGCUGCUGCCCAGAACACUCUUGCCUCACCUGGUCAAGUCUCAUCCUGCCAUGUCUGUCCAGUUGGGCCUUGCACUUUCUUCUUGCUCACACAGCCCCCAUACUGAAUGGUUCGGCCCACGCAUUUGCUCUGCCCUUUGGUCCUUGGUAAUGUACACUCCUGGGCCAGAAGAUAUUGUAAUCUAAAUGAGACAACAAAUACAAACAAGGCAGGAGGAUGUCCCCUCAGGAGAGACGUACACUGGGGUGAUUGAUGAGGUGAAGGGGAGGGAUUGCUUGCAAAGAAAGAUUUUAUGACAGUCAUUGCCCUAAUAGAACUAAAAUGGGACAAUUUCUUAUUCUGAAAUCCAUCAGUGCUGCUUUGGGUGACCUUUGGCAAGCCAAUUCAUCUCUGUCUGUGCCUCUGAAAAAUGGGAAUAAUACAGCCUUGCUGUCUGGAGAACCCUUGGUAAUUCUGUGAUGAAAGACGUUUUAUUGGUACCAGUAUCAUCUUUUAUUGUCAUUAGCAUGAUAACAGAUCUAUCACCUAGCAACAGAGCAGUAACUCUCCUGGCUGAUUGUCCAUGUACUUUUCUUGAAUUUUGGCUCUCUAGCUGCCUGCUUUCAUUUGGAGCAAGUUUAUAACCCGUGACUGUUCUUUUUUUUUCUUAACAUUGCCUGUUACAGACAAGCAAAGCUGUGGUGUCCCGGGCUACUCCUUGUUUCAUCCCCACCUUUCACUUCUGCCCCAGUCUUCCAUACAUGCAAGUGGUGAGCGUAUUCCUAUUAACUAAUAACAAAUAAUAUUUGCUUCUCUUAGAUGAGGUACAGAGCAGAAAUCUUGAAUUUUAAAAUGGAACUAUAAACUAUAUUUAAAAUUAAAAAUAUAGUUAUAUAUUUGAUUUAUACAAAUUAUGAAGAAGAAGGGAGAAAGAAUUAAAGACUGACAAUCAGGAAACUUCCUAAAAUCUUGCAGAGAUACUCCAGGCAUCACUUAAAGGACAGAUAAAGACGUGAAUGUAAAUAACACCAGUCUCUGAAGAUUAGGAUUUCUGCCAGGCCCUGUAAUGCCUUAGACCUGUGAUAAGAGCAGUCCUAUCCUCAAGUGGUACAUGGGCCAAUCUAUACCACUAGAAUCAGCAAAAGAUUAGAGAGGAGAACAAAGAGAAGGACAAAGGUAGAAAAAGCAUUAUCCUAUAUAUAUAUAUAUAUAUAUAUAUUUAUAUAUAUAUAUAUAUAUAUUUUUUUUUCUUUAAGUGCCCAUUUCUCUGAUUGGAAGCCUAAAGCAUGGAGACACACCAGUUCUGCUUGAACUGGUAUCCUGCUACACUUUGGAGUGAGAGAUCUGGUAGAUGUAGCUUCUCUCCCUGAGAAUGACUGCUGUAAAACAGCACUGUCAUCCGUCUGACGCUUCACAGGAAGAUAAUGUGCCAGCUGGAUGUUUAUUGCCCAGUAAACCCCAUGCUGUUCCCUUCAGUUGCUGCUAUAAUGCAAGAGUGAUUGCUGGCACUCAAUGCAUAUGCAGCUCCCUCCUACAGGGACAGGCAGCAGUGUGGGUUUCAGAUGUUUCUUGGCGCCUGCGAUGUGGGGGAAGCCCACCCUUCCUCUCUCAGAUCAGAGGGAGGACAGAUGUUCGUUCACAGUGCUGAUGUGUCCGUCAUCAUUAGGUGUCUUUUUAGAGAAAACUGUGCCAUAACCAUUGCUUUCUUCAUAGUACUUAUCCUCGUGAGUUUCUUGUUCGUUCGAUUGUGGUGUUUGCAUGUGCAGUUCUUUUUUAAAGGUACCUUGGCCUCACGCGUGAUAAUAGAUGAUGUUUUUCAUAUCCCUGACUUCCCUCCAGGUUCUGCUAUAUCCCUGUCUUAGGAAACGCAGCUCCCCUCUCUCUUCUCAGAAGUCACAUCCUCCCACAUCCACCCACAUCCACACUCCUGCACACCAGCCCCCUUCCUGCUGCCCUAACUCGCCUUCCUGUGCAGCACCAUCACUGACCCCAGCCUCAGCUGAAGGCUCGUGCAGACUGGCUCUGCUGUUAACUCCGGCCCUAACCUUACUCUCUCAGCUCUGUCCCUCCUCUAUCGGGAUCCCUUUCCCCUGCAGCUCUUUCAAGUCGUGACAACCUUCCCAAAGAAGCUAGAAGAACUUCUGGAAGACAACAGAAGUGGAAUAAGCAAAGUUUCCUCCCUCCGCCCCUUGCUGUUAGCUUCACUGCGCCUUUGGAAGGACUUUGCACUAGAGGAGAUGCUAUUUUUGUCCUGCUUAUGCAGCUAUGCUUGAUGCGAUGAAUAAAGCUGCAGGAGAACAGUCCUCUUGGAGAGGACCCUGAGUGCACUCGGCUAUAUCAUAUUUCCAGGUUGGUGCUUGGGCCUCAACAGUGCUGUCACCACUGGAGACCUCAGGGACAAAUGCAGCCACAGCAGUUUGCCUUUCUUGUCCCUCACCACCUGUGCAUAAGACAUGAAACACAGCGAUCUGAAGAAACUAACAUCGGGGUUUCAUUUGACAUUGCUGAAAAGAUUUGAGGGAAGGAUGUUGGGAGUAAAAUGUUUGUAAAAAUUAGAAAUCAGCAUCCCUUUAAAUAGACCGAGUCUGUUCCUUUCUAAUUGCCAUAUAAUCUUAUACUUCUGACACGGGAGCACAAGUAACUAAUCACUUCUGUAGCCUGGCUGUGAGCUGGGGAUUUAGUGUCUUCCUUCAAAGAGGAUUGCAGGUAACUGACUAACAGUAAGGUAGGACUGCCUGAGAUGACACUAUCCACGCGAGCUGCUCUCCUGGCAACCACAAUCCAAGAAGCAGAAAAUACCGAGAGAAAAGAAUGAGCUGGAAGGAGGAGCUGUUGUUUGAACAUGCGGAUGUUGGACUCUCCCAGAAGACAUCUGCAAAGAUGAAACAAUUGGAGGAAAUUUGUUUUGUGAUAUCCUUUCCCCCUGCAAUGUUUGACCAUCCUGAGGAGAGAAAGGAGGUUUUGAGCGUAUCUGUUUGCAACAUUCUGGUGCUUGAAAGGAUCUUAUAAGCAGGAGGGGGAGCAACUUUUUACGUGCUCUGAUAGUGAUGGGAUGAGAGGGAAGGACUUUGAACUAAAAUAUGUGAAAUAUAAGUUAGAUGAUAGGAGGAAAUUCUUUCCUCAGAGGGCGGUGAGGCGCUGGCACAGCUGCCCAGAGAAGCUGUGGUGCCCCAUCCCUGGAGGCGCUCAAGGCCAGGUUGGAUGGGGCCCUGGGCAGCCUGAGCUGGUGGGGGGCAGCCCUGCCCACGGCAGGAGUUGGGGCUGGGUCGGCUUUGAGCUCCCCUCCAGCCCAAACCGUUCUGUGAUUCUAUGAAAGAUGUCCCUCCCCAGUUUUUUUAUCAGCAAGGAAUCCUCCUACCUCGGCAUCUGAUUUUCCUCAUCAAGUCACAGUGCUCUGCUUGCAAAUUGCAAUUAAUCACUAUGGAGACUGUUGCAAAGUCACCAGUUUGGGAUUGGUCUUUCAGCUGAGCACUAAGCAACAGGUGCUGGGUGGCUUUGAGGAAAGCUCUUUAUUCACACUGAGGUGCAUUGUCUGAAGAUGAGGAAAGAUUUUCCUUGCAGCUAAAAAUAAUCAGAGAAUCAGAGGAUAAUGAAGGUUGGAAAAGACCUCUGGGAUCACCCAGUUCAACCAUCAGCCUACCCCCCCAUGCCCACUGCCCACGUCCCUCAGUGCCACAUCCACACGGCUCUUCAACACCUCCAGGGAUGGUGACUCCACCACCCCCCUGGGUAGCCUGUGCCACUGCCUCACUGCUCUUAAAUAAUGGCAUGAGCUGGGGGGGAUUUCCUGAAGUGGAAGAAACCUCGUGACAUGGAUACAACCCUGUGGCUCAUGGAGAGAGCGGGAGUCAGUGCUGGUUUGGAAGGUCUGCAUUCACAUCCGUCAACAGUAAGAGCUCUACAUGCUCCAGCUGCAGCCAUAGGCCAUCUCCAGCCUGGCUCUUCAGACUGUGAGGCCUGAGCAAGAGCAUCUCGCAUCACUCUCCCCACUGCUCUCGGCACAACAGUGAGGGAGUCAGGAUGCUGCUCUGCACGGACCUGUUCUGAAGCUGAGACCAGCACGUACCUGAGAGCUAUGGUUCCUUUCCUUGUGCCCGCACGCACACAGACUGGGGCUGCAGUCAGCUGGAGGGGUUUUAAAGCAUCUUUCUGGAGAGCAGACCUAAAUAUGUCAUCCAUUCCAUUUGGAAAUGAGGGCAGCAGCUCUGAGAAAAAGCAGACAGUGGGCAUCCGUGGGACUUGCCAGAUUAGAGACAAACUGCAUGAAAGCACUGUCAGCUCCUUGCUGAAUUUACACAGAUGCCCCUGCCCUGUCCCUGCCCCCUCUGCCAGCCAUCGCGUGACAUCGCAGCCAGUGGGGAAGGGCAGUGACAGCCACAGGUAAAGACUGCAUGGUGUUGUGCACCACUUUGGUGGCCUCCAGGAGCUGAAUCUAUGCUCUGACAGGCACUGUGCACAGCAGUGGUGGCGAAUAAGUGUGUCCAGAGGCACCUGGGGACAGCAAGGCAAGCAUUUUUAACCAGGUGCUGCUGAUGCAAAUCCAUCAGCACAGCCCCAGGUGGAACGCCCAUUGCAGUCAAAGGCUCAGUUCCUCACCCAGCAUCCAAGAAAGGACAAGAUGGGGGAGGGGGGGAGGGAAGUCACAUCCAGAAGCAUCCAUGGGUGAAAUAUUGAAAUGAAAUGCUGUGAAAGGGGCCCUUGGGGCUUGGGAAUAUAUCAUCUUUGUAAUGCACGAGACAAGCAGCCCUGCUCUGGGACUCUGCUUUGCCCCAGUUCCAUUACUGUGGAUGUACAGUAAGGACAGCAGAUGUAGACCCCAAAUAAUCCUCCCAUUUCAGCAAGGAGUGCUGGUUCAGAAGAGAAAUGCGUAACGCAUCUGCUAGAACAGGUAAGGCAUGGUUCUGAAAGCAUCAAUUCCACCUGUUUUCCAAGAGUAGAACUUGUUUCAGUUCUGGGGAAAGGGUCAGACACAUCCUCAUCUAAAUCCAUGCCUUAAGAUUUGGGCUGUGUGUCACUGGAGUUAAAAUAUCCCCAGAAAACCACGGGGCCCUGUUACGUAUCCCCAUUUUUAUCUGGGUUGUACUAAAAAUGUAUAUUAAAUUGUAAUCAUUUAGCAAUGUUUCCGCACACACAAAAUUCUCUUGGCUACAUAUAUAGCAUCAUCCAGUACACAUUGUUUUGGCAGCUUUAUGUUCUUCAGCACUCUCACUGCCUGUGCACCUGUUUUUUUUUCACAUGGGGUUUGCCCCACUGCUGCCAACUGUGAUUCCUUACACCUUUGCACACGUUUACUGUGUCCUCAUUCUCCCACACACAAGAAAAAGAGAUUGUGCUGCCUCCGUGAGCCUGCACAUGAAAGUCUGAGCAAGAUCUGCUGUGAGGGCUGAGGCAGAGCAUUGCUGAAGCAAGCAUGUGUUUGCUCCUUGGAAAGUGACAGUCAAUAAAUGUAAGAAGAACCAUCGUGGAGGAAGUGGCAGCAUGGAAGAUGUUUCUGGUGGUACGGAUGUAGGAUGAGUUGUCACGGAGGGUAACCUCUUGUUUCCCAUGCAGAAGCUUGUGCAGGGCAGGUGAUGGACACGUUGCAGGCCCCAAACUGCAGAGCUGGCCUCAGAGUAUGUCAGGUGCUUCCUGGAAUAACACUUAGGUCCAUGUGAGGUGGAAAAGGUUUUUUCAUCCCAGAUCACAAAUCUGUCUGUCCAUCCAACUGUUAGUCUCUCCCAAAUGAGAUCUGAACCCUCCUGCUGCUUUCGACAAAAGAAGGUCUCCAAAAUCCCAAAUUCCCACAGGUCUCUCAUCAGGUAGAGAAGGAAACACAAAGCAACUCAGUGAGGCACACAGGAAAUGCACGUGCAAGAUCAUGGUCUUGGCAAAUUGGGAAGAAAUUGCCCUGGAGCAG
ensembl:lncRNA